AAGUUAAUGAGUUGAAGUUGUACAGUGAACCAUCUCCCACCUUUGACACUUCGCGCUCCCCAUCCAAACGGUACCGAUCCGCCGGCCGCCGUUCUCCAUUUCAAAUUGCAAACCCGUUCUCCUUUUCCGCCUCCUCGACGCAACUCGUCGCCGUCUUCUCCAACUCGCACCUCGUUCCUCGCCCCACCAUUUGCCGCUCCCGCCUACGAUGCCGACGAGUGAGGUGUGGAGCUUGUCCGAUUUUGAAAUCAGCAAGUACAUCGCUGAGGGCAGGUUCGGCAAGGUCUACCUCGCCCGCGAGAAGCAGAGCGGGUACGUGGUGGCGCUCAAGGUGAUAUUUAAGGCGAAACUGAAGAAGCACCGCUUCCACGCGCACCUGCGGCGGGAGAUCGAGAUCCAGCAGAGUCUCGAUCACCCUAACGUGCUCCGCCUCUUCACCUGGUUCCACGACGAAGAGCGAGUCGUCCUCGUCCUCGAGUACGCGGCCCGUGGCGAGCUCUACAAGGUCCUUCGCGCUGCUGGCCGCUUCACCGAGCGCACGUCCGCCACGUAUGUAGCGAGUCUUGCUGGUGCACUGGCAUACUGUCACAAAAAGCAAGUCAUUCAUAGGGACAUCAAGCCUGAGAAUUUGCUAAUCGACAUCGAGGGCCGGCUUAAAAUUGCAGAUUUUGGAUGGGCGGCUCGUUCAAAUGCUAAACGCCACACACUCUGUGGCACAAUCGAUUAUCUGGCACCAGAGAUGGUAGAGAAAAGAGCUCAUGACCAUGCUGUGGACAACUGGACAUUAGGAAUCCUGUGCUAUGAGUUCUUAUAUGGUUCACCUCCUUUUGAAGCUGAUGAACAGGAUGAUACCUUGAGAAGGAUAGUUAGGGUGGAUUUGGCAUUCCCUUCAUCUCCUUGUGUAUCUUCAGAGGCUAAGGAUCUCAUUUCCAAGUGUGAUUGUGUAUGCAGCUUCUAGUUAAGGAUUCAAGCAAGAGGCUUUGCCUUGAAGACAUCAUGAAGCAUCCAUGGAUAAAGAAGAAUGCAGACCCUUCAGGCAGUUGCAUUAAGCAAAAAGAUGUCACAAGAUCAAAGCUUCUGUAAUAUCAGUACAACCUGCUUGCCAGUGGGCAAGAAUCUUCUGAUGUGGUGCCAAACUCGUCACUACUGGAGGACAAAUAUGAUGACAUGUAGUUUUAAGUUCCGAUAGUUCUGGAGUGGAUUGGUGUGUGUGUCCCUGCAAGCUUUCUCCUACAGGCUGGAGUUCUAGUUCUGAUGCAGCGUUUGUGUUUCCCUUUUGAACUGUGUCGUGAAACCAAUGUUCACUCGAGAGGAAUGUAGUUUUCAACUGAGUUGUUGAACCUUCGCAAAUUGGAGGGUCAAUGGUCUGUGGAGACUGGAGAGGAACGUGGCUUUCGCUGUGGCGAUCGUAUUUUGUAAUUGUUGAAUCUGCAGUAUUUUGGUCUUUAGCAAUGAAAUAUGGAGAUGCACGUAGUUUUUCUA